rnacentral:rRNA from 1 species
GGGGUAAAGGCUCACCAAGCCAACGAUCUGUAGCUGGUCUGAGAGGACGACCAGCCACACGUGGGACUGAGACACGGCCCAGACUCCUACGGGAGGCAGCAGUGGGGAAUGGUGGCCAAUGGGCGCAAGCCUGGAUCCAGCCAUGCCGCGCGGGAAGAAGGCCUUCGACGUUGUAAACCGCUUUUGUCAGGGAAGAAAAGGUUCUGCUAAUACCUGGGACUCAUGACGGUACCUGAAGAAUAAGCACCGGCUAACUACGUGCCAGCAGCCGCGGUAAUACGUAGGGUGCAAGCGUUAAUCGGAAUUACGGUGGGCG